rnacentral:rRNA from 1 species
GACGAACGCUGGCGGCGUGCUUAACACAUGCAAGUCGAACGGAAAGGCCCUGCUUUUGUGGGGUGCUCGAGUGGCGAACGGGUGAGUAACACGGGAGUAACCUGCCCUUGACUUGGGGAUAACUUCAGGAAACUGGGGCUAAUACCGGAUAGGAGCUCCUGCUGCAUGGUGGGGGUUGGAAAGUUUCGGCGGUUGGGGUUGGACUCGCGGCUUAUCAGCUGGUUGGUGGGGUAGUGGCUUACCAAGGCUUUGACGGGUAGCCGGCCUGAGAGGGUGACCGGCCACAUUGGGCCUGAGAUACGGCCCAGACUCCUACGGGAGGCAGCAGUGGGGAAUAUUGCAAAAUGGGCGGAGGCCUGAUGCAGCAACGCCGCGUGCGGGAUGACGGCCUUCGGGUUGUAAACCGCUUUCGCCUGUGACGAAGCGUGAGUGACGGUAAUGGGUAAAGAAGCACCGGCUAACUACGUG